AGAGCAAAAUAACAAUAACACUUAUUAAGUCCUGAAAGGCAUUUUAAUGCUACUUAAUAAUUGCUUAAUGGCAAUGUACUCUG